rnacentral:rRNA from 1 species
UAAGGAAUAUUGGUCAAUGGACGAAAGUCUGAACCAGCCAUGCCGCGUGAAGGAUGAAGGUCCUCUGGAUUGUAAACUUCUUUUAUCUGGGACGAAAAAAGGGAAUUCUUUCUCACUUGACGGUACCAGAAGAAUAAGCACCGGCUAACUCCGUGCCAGCAGCCGCGGUAAUACGGAGGGUGCAAGCGUUAUCCGGGAUUCACUGGGUUUAAAGGGUGCGUAGGUGGGCAGUUAAGUCAGUGGUGAAAUCUCCGGGCUUAACCCGGAAACUGCCAUUGAUACUAUCUGUCUUGAAUACUCUGGAGGUAAGCGAAAUAUGUCAUGUAGCGGUGAAAUGCUUAGAUAUGACAUAGAACACCGAUUGCAGGGCAGCUUUACACGGAGUCAUUGACACUGAGGCAC